UCACCUUGCUUUUGCCUUGAUUGAGUGAGGAAUCAACAAGAACCACUAAUCUAAUCCGAAGGAAGUUUCAGCAAGGUGACAAGAAGGCUUGUAGUGGAGUGAUUUGGAGAGGAAAGAUUGGUUUUUCAUUUUCUCCUAGAGGUUUGAAGGUAUUAAGUUGGCAAACUCUCCUUCUCUUUCUUAUCUUGCAUUUUAUUGGGUAGAUGACUUGAAUAUAGAAGUUUUAUGGAAGAUAUCAUGGAUUUGUGAAGAUUGGUGAAUUUUCCAGCUUUGUCUUAUAUUUUCCAGCCAUGAUAUGAUGAUAUCUAGCCUUGUUAUGGCUUGAGAGUGUUAAUAUGAAGAUUUCUAGCUAUAAUAUGACUUUUUAGCUUCCAAAUAAGAAUUUCCAGCUUUAGUUCCAAAUUUCCAGCUUUGGUAGAGAAUUUCCAGCUUAGGUAUAUGAUGAGUAUAUGCUAGGUAUAUGUUUGAUAUAGUUAGUUUUGUGCCUAAAAUAAGCACCCUAUGUAUCUUAUAACUUGUAGACUUGAUUGGGGCUGUUUUACUAUGGAAUGUUAGCUUUGCAAUUUGAGGAAAAGUUGAGGUCAAAUAGGGAAGUGAUGCCCGUUUUUCUUCUUGUGGGGUAAGUGAGUGAAAGUGGAAGUAGAGGUGCGAUUUGUGAUCGAUUUCGACUUAACUUGCUUAGGAAUGUUUGAGUUGACCUUGGUAGUGAUAUGUAAGCUGAAAUUUUGCCAAAAACUAUAUAUUUUGCAAGCGGAAAGUAAUGGCCACUUUAAACAAGAUUUUCUAGAUGCAUAUAUCAAGCUAUAAACUUAAAGAUUUCAAUCAUUUCUUUAUCAAAACCAAAAAGAGUGGGCAUGUAUUUUUAGGGUUUAUUAAGUAUUAUGAUUACUAUUUAGAUUAGUUUUAUUUACUUGAUUUUUCUUCGAUAUUAAUAAGUGAAGAUCGUAUAUUUCGAAAACCUAUUUGAUUACUUGUUGCUAUACGACAUUUUAUCGCAGAUUUUGACUCUGGCUAGGGGGUUGGACCUGAGCUUGAUUCUGAUAAAGAGUGAAUCAUUGGUGAGUGUCUCCAAUUGCAUGACCAAACUUGAUACUUGAAUGCAAUGCUUUGUUAAUGUGAUUGGAAAAUACUUGACUUGUUUGGUCGGGCAAGGGUGUAAUUUAUCGCACUUGUCCUAAUUUGAUUAAUUACUGUACAUUGGUUACGAAUGGUUUGAUGUAUAUGUGUAUGACUUGAAUACUGCUUCGGAUCCUAACCCUAUUGGUUAGUUCGUCGAAUCGAGCCAGCAAGGACUCGGUCAAGGAGACUAGCGAACCAUAGGUACUGUUUAUUGUUUAUUGUAUAAUCCACUGGAUAUGGUCCACUGGAUUCGGUAUACUCGAGUAUUACCACCAUUGUUAAUAUUGGAAUUCGGGUCCGGUAGGGAGUUUGAUUGGUGGAUGGUGUUGGAGUUAAGUGUCGCUCUACUAGACUUGCUACAAUACUUUGAAAGUUGACGGAGUGUCAACUGCUUCUUGACAAGCUGCGGCUGAAUUAGCUCGCAAGAGCGAACUAUAUCCUUAUAACUGAAAAUGUUGAAUACCUAAUUAACUUGUUGCUUGAAGUGUUAUUGUUAACUUUCAUGAACUUUUGUGCUCGCCCACUUUGAGGUUUCAAGUUUUAUAUAAUGGCCAACUUGCUACUUGUUUUUGCAUGAUAUUUUGGAACCUCACUGAGGUUUAACUCACCACAUUAGUUUUGUUUUCCUUACAGAGGAUGCGAGCAUGAGCGUGAUGCUAGGACAGGC
rnacentral:lncRNA from 1 species